GGAGGGUCCAAGCGUUAUCCGGAAUCAUUGGGUUUAAAGGGUCCGUAGGCGGUUUUGUAAGUCAGUGGUGAAAGCCCAUCGCUCAACGGUGGAACGGCCAUUGAUACUGCAAGACUUGAAUUAUUGGGAAGCAACUAGAAUAUGUAGUGUAGCGGUGAAAUGCUUAGAGAUUACAUGGAAUACCAAUUGCGAAGGCAGGUUGCUACCAAUACAUUGACGCUGAUGGACGAAAGCGUGGGGAGCGAACAGGAUUAGAUACCCUGGUAGUCCACGCCGUAAACGAUGGAUACUAGCUGUUCGGAGCAAUCUGAGUGGCUAAGCGAAAGUGAUAAGUAUCCCACCUGGGGAGUACGUUCGCAAGAAUG
rnacentral:rRNA from 1 species